GUAAAUAUCACAGAUUUGUUUGUUGGCACUGUGCUGUUAUCUCCAAUUACGUGUCUCCAAUGGAGUUCGAUUGAAGUCACAAAUAGAGGAUAUUGAGAAUGGAGGGGUCUCUAUUUGAAUGAAUAUCGAUGAGAGUGAAAAAACUGGUAGAAGAGUUCUCUCAACAGUAGAAGGAUGGAAAGGGAGAAGAUAACGAAGAGUUCGAAGCAAGGCACGUUUGGAUGCAAAUACCAAAGAGCUACACCCAGAAUAGAGAAGUAACGUAGGAUAGGUACCUACAACUGAGGAACUUGAGAAAAAUUAUUAUGAAGAAUACCCGUACUAUAUUUAAAUUCAAUAAUAAACAGUUUGGUUUUUUGGUACCUUAA